rnacentral:lncRNA from 1 species
GACCUAAAUAUGAACUUAUGAACCUAAGAAGGAAUUUCGGUGAGGGAGCAAGGAACUGAAACUCCAUCGGUAACAGAAUGGAGAAAAAAACCUUGGGAGAAACCAGGCUCAAUUAGGGGGCCAGUUCUCCUAUUACCAGACGAAUCCAGUGGUUCAAUUCCAGGCUGCAGCAAAGUCAGAUUGUGCAGAAGAAUCAUCUGUUUCCUGUGGUCUUGUCCUGGUGGUCCUCUGAGACAAGGUAUUUACAGGGGAUCUGUAUCUGGGGCUCUAGUUGUCCUGGUCUCCGCUGUCUUUCAGGGCAGUAGAGGUCCUUUCUAGGUGCUGAUCCACCAUCAUGUCUGGAUACGUACUGGAUCCGGGUGACUGCAGUGACCCUCUGGUCUGGAUACAGACUGGAUCUGGUGGCCACGGUGACCUCGGAACAAGAGAGAAACAGACAAAUAUUAGCGUAGAUGCCAUUCUUCUAAUGAUGUAGGAGGUACAUGUUAUGUGAAGUGUUUCCGGUUCCGGUUUACCUUAUUAAUGCAGCCUAAAAAUCCUUUAACGGAUUUGGAUAUUAAAAGCAUAUUAGUAUGUUAUGUGUAUGCCAGGUUAAAGAGAUGGGUCUUUAAUCUAGAUUUAAACUAAAGGAAUGUGUCUGCGUCCCGAACAAUGUUAGGUAGGUUAUUCCAGAGUUUUGGCGCCAAAUAGGAAAAGGACCUGCCGCCCGCAGUUGAUUUUGAUAUUCUAGGUAUUAUCAAAUUGCCUGAGUUUUGAGAACGUAGCGGACGUAGAGGAGUAUAAUGUAAAAGGAGCUCAUUCAAAUACUGAGGUGCUAAACCAUUCAGGGCUUUAUAAGUAAUAAGCAAUAUUUUAAAAAUCUAUACGAUGUUUGAUAGGGAGCCAGUGCAGCGAUGACAGGACCGGGCUAAUAUGUUUAUACUUCCUGUUUCUAGUAAGAACUCUUGCUGCUGCAUUUUGGACUAGUUGUAGUUUGAUUACUAAGCGUGCAGAACAACCACCCAAUAAAGCAUUACAAUAAUCUAACCUUGAAGUCAUAAAUGCAUGGAUUAUCAUUUCUGCAUUUGACAUUGAGAGCAUAGGCCGUAAUUUUAGAUAUAUUUUUGAGAUGGAAAAAUGCAGUUUUACAAAUGCUAGAAACUUGGCUUUCUAAGGAAAGAUUGCGAUCAAAUAGCACACCUAGGUUCCUAACUGAUGACGAAGAAUUGACAGAGCAACCAUUAAGUCUUAGACAGUGUUAUAGGUUAUUAAAAGCAUAGUUUUUAGUUCCUUCUCUAUCAUUUCUCUAUCAUAUGUUCAACUAGCAUGUCAAUCAUUUUAUAUACGUCUAUAUGAUAAUUUCUUGACAACAACAUUACACACACAUCAGUUACAUAAGUACAAAGACAUAAAAAGUUACCUAUUUUAAGACUUUCUUCACAUUCAGGCAUAAGUUCAAGAAUACUUUCU